UACAGAGGUGGCAAGCGUUGUUCGGAAUUACUGGGCGUAAAGGGCGCGUAGGCGGCCUGUUAAGUCCCGUGUGAAAUCCCUCGGCUCAACCGGGGAACUGCCCGGGAAACUGGCGGGCUUGAGUUCGGGAGAGGGAAGCGGAAUUCCGGGUGUAGCGGUGAAAUGCGUAGAUAUCCGGAGGAACACCGGUGGCGAAGGCGGCUUCCUGGACCGACACUGACGCUGAGGCGCGAAAGCUAGGGGAGCAAGCGGG
rnacentral:rRNA from 1 species